AGGACGAACGCUGGCGGCGUGCUUAACACAUGCAAGUCGAACGAGGUCCAUCCAGUCGCAAGACUGGUGAAGGCCGAGUGGCGAACGGGUGCGUAACACGUGAGAAACCUGUCCCGGUCUCUGGAAUAACAGUCGGAAACGACUGCUAAUACCGGAUGCCGUCGGAGCGUCGCAUGGCGCGCUGACGAAAGGGCUACCGGAUCGGGAGGGUCUCGCGGCCUAUCAGCUUGUUGGUGAGGUAACGGCUCACCAAGGCAUCGACGGGUAGCUGGUCUGAGAGGAUGAUCAGCCACACUGGGACUGAGACACGGCCCAGACUCCUACGGGAGGCAGCAGUGGGGAAUCUUGCACAAUGGGCGAAAGCCUGAUGCAGCAACGCCGCGUGCGGGAUGAAGGCCCUAGGGUUGUAAACCGCUUUCAGCAGGGAAGAAAUGACGGUACCUGUAGAAGAAGGUGCGGCCAACUACGUGCCAGCAGCCG
rnacentral:rRNA from 1 species